GCGACCUCCCCGCCAGGUCCUGUGUGUUGCCAGCCGAAGAAGGGUAGCUGAAAAAUUCAGACCCAGCACAGUGUUUAUGUUGGUCAAAAAUAGAAAACUAUGUCUGGCGCCGCCGAGGCGGGAGGACCCUUCAGGCCAAGAGCAGCCUAGCAACAUGGCGCAACCCCAUCUCUGUAGUCCUACCUCAGCUCCCCCCAGCUGAGGGGGGCUCAGCCCCCCAGCCCUCAAGUAUGAACCCAACGGUUCAAGGCUCCAGUGAGCUAUGAUCCCAUCACAGCAUUCCAGCCUGCGAGAUUGAGAUGAUGAUUAUUCCCCACCUUCUAGGACACAAAGACCAACGAGCCACCACAGCCACCAGUCCCAGAACCCGCUAAUGCUGGGGAACGGAAAAUGAGGGAGUUCAACUCUGGCCCUCACAAUCCAGUGGAGGAGACGAAACUCAUCUGCCUCUGUCCCUCUGGGCACGCCUCAUGCCAGGUGCAUCUGUGGACAGGGGCCAUGCUCCUGGGCUUCCAAAGUUGGAGAAAGCUGCCAGGCUCAGAGCCACCUAAGCUGAAGAUUCCCUUGAGAACAAGUACUGUCCUGCGGUUUCAUGGCCUUUCUUCCAUUUGUGGUUCUUGCGAAGUGGAAUUUAAAUGACAUCUUAUCAAGAUCGAUAAAUACUAGUUUCCCAGUGCUGGAAUAUAGAAAAUGGAUGGACAAGUAAAUCCCACUCAGCACCCAUAGUCCAGGCAUGGGGACCUCAACACACCUGAGCCCCAAACAUCACCUUUCAUUCUGGACCUACCAUGAAAGACUUCUGAAUCCAGGAAGAGAAACUGACUGGGCAACAUGUUAUUCAGAAACAGGACCUUGCCCUGUCACUCAGGAUGGAGUUCAAUGGUCCUAUCAUGGCUCAUUAUAGCCUUAAACUCCCAGGCUCAAGCAAUCCUACCAUGUCAGCCUUCCCAGUAGCUGGGACUACAGGAAGUGACCUCACAAUGACUCAAGCUACCACAUACUGUUGAUUGUGAAAUGCCAGUUGAAGCAUAUGUCCUGCGAGCUUAGGGGUGCUACAAGUUGACCACUGCAGCAGUAAAGAUGACUCUGAAGAAUGGCAUGGGAUGGAUCCUUUCGAAUGCACUUGAGCAGCGGUCUCCAACCACAGGGCCACAGAGCUGGAGCUGGAUCUACCAUGAAAGACUUCUGAAUCCAGGAAGAGAGACUGACUGGGCAACAUGUUAUUCAGGGUCUCCCUCUGUUGUCCAAGGCUGGAGUGUAGUAGUGCUA
rnacentral:lncRNA from 1 species